rnacentral:lncRNA from 10 species
CUCAAGCCUAACUGCAUGACUGUCGCAAGUCCUAGCCAAUGCCUGCCAGGGGCACACGCAGUAUGCAGCUUCCCCAUUUCCAAGAACCGAAAGAAUGUGGACUAAGAUGAUGACAGCUCCAGGAACCAGCCCAGACGGAGCCACUGGAGAGCUUCCCCAUAAGGUAUCAUUAUUUAUCUAAAUCUCCGGAGCCAUUGAGGACCAAGAUCAUACUUGCUGAAUAAAUGCACGGAGCAGGAUCAGAGGAUAGACACAGAAUGGGCCAAGAAGAGAAAUAUUAUUCCUCAUAAGAGCUUGCUUGAUUGCAACCACCAAGGACAUCCACAAACCAGGGCAAGAAGGACCAUCCGUAAUUCUUUCCCAUAAAUAGUGACAGGAAGAAAAUAAACGCCCUAUUCUUCAAUGAUUUGAACCACCUCUGGAGCACAAACUUUCUCUAAAUUCACAGGGCAAAUAUCCAUCAUGGGGCAGGUAUCUAUGCUGCCAUGGAAAGUAACAUAAAAUGUACUAAGUCAUCACAGGGAGUUUUAAUUUUGUUUUUAAGGUCAAUUGCCAUGCUGGGGUAAAAAGCAUUGAUCCUUGCCUUUUAUCACCGGAAAAAUUCUUCACCAGUACUUUGUGAAAAUCUCGCCUCAUCAGGGCUGCCAAGGUCAAUGCAACCUAAGUAACCAAGCUGGGAGAUGCUUGCCUAAUUAUUAAAUAUUUAGCAAACAGUUUGUGACUAUUUAACUGUUUGCACCUGGCACCCUCUUUUCACUACGUGAGGCCUCCUGGCACCCUGACCUCUUCCCCCACCCCUACCCACUGCCCAGGCCGCCAGCACCCCUGGGGGGCAAAUACCGGGACCCAAGGGCAUUUCAAAGAAACAGCAGAGGUCACAUUCCAUUUCCUUUUUAUUAAAAAACAUACUUAAAAUGGGGGAGGAGGGCACAGAUCUAAGGUAAAAUCUCUUGCAGUUUUUUCAAGUUCGCAUGCACCGUUGAAAGUUCAUUAGUUAGGGAUUUAAAAGCAAAAAUGUUUCACACAACCAAUUAAACGCCAAGCUUUACAAACGCCUUGGUCUUUGGUUUUGGGAAUCUGUAAAAGUCCGCCUCCCCCCACCCGAGUUUUGCCCCUUUUAGAGCCCCUUUGUUGAAUUACGUGACUUUUCCCGAAGUCAUCAAACUUUGAAUUGCGUCUCUAAUUUUUUUUUUCAGGGCAAAAGCAAAUCAAGAAAUUAAACUUAAAAGUAGGCGACUCGGAGAGAAGUGGGGGAAAGCUCGCCCCAAAGCCAAGUUCCGCAGGACUAAAGCCCUCUUUGCGCGCGCGGGGCGGGGGAUUGUCC